rnacentral:misc_RNA from 1 species
AAAAACAUAUAGAGAGUAAUGAAGUGUAUGAUGAAGAAGAGAGGUCUAACAUGGCGGAAAGCG